AGAUAACCCUGCAAGGUAAUUAUUGCAGUUUAUAAAAAACUGCAAUAAUUACACUUGCAGGGUUAAGGGUAGUGGGAGUUGCCACUCAGACCACUCCAAUGGGCAGAAGUGGUCUGGGUUCCUGGAGUGUCCCUUUAAGAUCUUUAUGUAGACUGCACAAGCUUUGACGUCUUUUCAACUAUAUGGCAUUUUCAUGUUUUUCUAUGUGAUACCUCUGCUG